CCUACGGGAGGCAGCAGUGGGGAAUAUUGCACAAUGGGGGAAACCCUGAUGCAGCGACGCCGCGUGAGUGAAGAAGUAUCUCGGUACGUAAAGCUCUAUCAGCAGGGAAGAUAAUGACGGUACCUGACCAAGAAGCCCCGGCUAACUACGUGCCAGCAGCCGCGGUAAUACGUAGGGGGCAAGCGUUAUCCGGAUUUACUGGGUGUAAAGGGAGCGUAGACGGUUAUGCAAGUCUGAAGUGAAAGCCCAAGGCUCAACCAUGGGACUGCUUUGGAAACUGUAAAACUGGAGUGCAGGAGAGGUAAGCGGAAUUCCUAGUGUAGCGGUGAAAUGCGUAGAUAUUAGGAGGAACACCAGUGGCGAAGGCGGCUUACUGGACUGUAACUGACGUUGAGGCUCGAAGGCGUGGGGAGCAAACAGGAUUAGAUACCCUUGUAGUC
rnacentral:rRNA from 1 species